CUCACUAAUCUGCAGGGGUACAGCUACAGAGAGUCCAGACAGCAACUCCCACCCUGCAGAGACAGCCUACAGCUCAGGGACGUAAGUGAUGGGGGGAAAGGCUGCAAGGAGACAUACACUGAGACACUAAGGGACAUUGGGAGACAUUAUGACACAGACACAUGGGGACACAGAGUCCCCAUGUCUCCCAGCCAGUGUCCCUGAUGUCUCAGUGCCCCCUAGUCUCCCAGUGUCCCCAGUCUGCCAGUGUCUCACUGUCCCCAUGUCUCCUAGUGUCUCCAUGUCUCUCAGUGCCUCAAGUGUCACAAUGUCCCCAUGUCUCCAAGCUAGUGUCCCUAGUGUCUGUGGCCCUGGUGUCUCAGUGUCCCCAUGUCUCCCAGUGCCCCCAUGUCUCAAUGUCCCCAUGUCCCUCAACCAGGGUCUCUAGUGUCUGUGUCCCUGGUGUCUGUGUCCCCAUGUCUUCAAGUGUCCCCUAUUUUCCCAUUGUCCCCAUGUGUCCCAGCCAGAGUCCCCUAGUCUCCCAGUGUCACUGGUUUCUCCGUGUCCCUAGGUCUCCCAGUGUCCCCAGGUCUCCCCCUCUUCCUAGUGUCCUAGUGACAUGGGGACCCUGGGAUACAUGGGGAGACAUGGGGCAUUGAGACACUGUGAUACAUAGGAUCACUGGGAGACCUGGGGACACGACACUAGGGGACACUGGGAGACAUGGGUCACUGAGACACUGAUACAUAGGAACACUGAGACCUGGAGUAAUCGACACAUGGGGGCACUAAGUCAUGAGGGUACUGGGAGACAUGGGGGCACUGGGAGGAAUCCAUCUAUACAGCAGAAUCAAACUAAUUAGUUUUUUGGUGAUUUUACAGCAUUUUCUCUUAUGUCACUCCUUGUGCUUUACAUCAUGUGAUGUCAUCCAUACAUAUUUGAUUAUGCAAAUUCUUUUUCCAAGAAAGGUGGUAACCCUAACUACUUUUCACAUACUCUUACUUAAGUAUGGAAACUUAAGAGGGAUGUAUGGGAACAAAACUUGUGUGGACUGGCUGACAAUGAAUAUAGUUAAAGGGACACUAUAGUCACCAGAACAACUACAGCUUAUUGAAUUUGUUCUGGUGAGUAGAAUCAUUACCGUUAGGCUUUUUGCUGUUAACACUGUCUUUUCAGAGAAAAUGCAUUCUUUACAUUACAGCCUAGUGAUAACUUCACUGGC